UGAGGAGUCACCUGAUCCGAGUAACAUGGCCGCUGCCCCUUGAGAACUGCAGGUCGAGGUCCGAGCAGGACGCCAGACCCGCUGGGCGGCUGAGGGCAGGUGUGCCGAGACGGGGACCAGGCCCCGGUUCCGAGGGGCGCGCGGCGGCGGAGCGAGACAGGAGGGCCCGGGGCGGCGUGGUCCAUGAGCCGGUGCCGGAGGCAGCGCGGAGCCGCAGACUCCCCUAGCCCCGACGCGGCCCGGGCUGCCGCGGGCUGAGGAGUCGCGGGGCUCCGGGGAGCGCCCCGAGCUGCCACUGUGAACCCUGAGAAGGACUUCGCGCCGCUCACGCCCAACAUCGUGCGCGCCCUCAACGAGAAACUCUCUGAAAGCGGAAGGUGGCAAGCGCUGGAGGUAGGCUGGACCAGGAAUUCGUGGCCCAGAACAACACCGUGCAGAUCAAGCAUGUGAUCCAGACCCUGUCUGAGGAGUUUGCCCUGUCUCGGCACCCCCACAGCCGGAAAGGGGGCCUCAUCAGCCUGGCCGCCUGCUCCAUCGCACUAGGCAAGGACAUCAUGAUGGAGAGCAACAAGUUCGACCUGGUGGGCUUCAUCCCCUUGUUGCGGGAGAGGAUUUACUCCAACAACCAGUAUGCCCGGCAGUUCAUCAUCUCCUGGAUCCUGGUUCUGGAGUCGGUGCCAGACAUUAACCUGCUGGAUUAUUUGCCGGAGAUCCUGGAUGGACUGUUCCAGAUCCUGGGCGACAAUGGCAAAGAGAUUCGGAAAAUGUGUGAGGUGGUCCCUGGAGAAUUUUUGAAGGAAAUUAAGAAGAACCCUUCCGGCGUUAAGUUUGCUGAGAUGGCCAACAUCCUGGUGAUCCACUGCCAGACCGCGGGUGCCAAAGCAAUUCAAUGGGGGAUAUUGGUCUUUUCAACAAAUAGUGCUGAAACAACUGGGUAUCCGCAUACAGAAGAAUGAAGUUGGACCCCUUCCUGACACCAUGCACACACAAAGAAAAUCUCCAAAUAGAUCACAGGCCUAAAUGGGACACUGGUUCUAUCCCCAGGCCAGGAAGAUCCCACAUGCCACGGAGCAACUAAGCCCGAGAGCCACAAUGACCAAGCCCAAGUGUCACAACUGCUGAAGCCCACGCACCUAGAGUCCAUGCUCCACAAGAGAAGCCACUGCACUAAGAAGCCUGCACACCACAAUGAAGAGCGGCCCCCACUCUCCACAACUAGAGAAAGUCCGCCUGCAGCAACAGAGACCCAACACAGCCAAUAAAUAAAUAAAUUUAUAAAAGAAAAAAAAAAUUUUUAAGUAGUUUUAAGUAGACUGUCCUUGGAAGGCAGCAGAGAAUUUCAAAUCAACAGCUUGUAAAACUUGGAUCACAUAGACUAGUAGUUGCCGAGGGCUGGGGUGUCGGAGGAGAAGAGUGACUGCUAAUGAACGUGGGGCUUCCUUUUGGGAAAGUAAAAAAUGUUCUAAAAUUGAUUGUAGUGAUAGUUGCACAACUCUGAAUAACAAAAUAAUCAUUGCACUGUACAUUUUAAAUGAGUGAAUUUAUGGUAUUGAAUUAUAUCUCAAUAAAGUUGUUAAAAGAAAAGUGGGUCACAAAGAGAAGGCAAUGAGAGGAGGAUCUGAUUAAAUACUUAGGUAAAGUGGGGCAGGGGAGGGCAUCCAUGCAAUUUAUGAUCUUAAUGAGGAUCCUUCCUUCAUAUCUACUACUUUGCUCCUUGUUCUUUAGCUUUUCUCUCCUUGGAUAUGUCACAACUUCCCACCUCUUUCUUGUUUUUUAGUUUACUAAUCAAUUAAUAUACACAUACAACACAUACAACAAAUUUAUUCCGUAAAUUAUAAUAUAGAAUGUGAUUCCAAUGUUAACUCCCACUGCUCUUUACUAAGGAGGAAGUAUGGAUGAAGGGAACAUUCCCAUCCUGAUCCUGUUUUAGAUGCUCAUGUUUUGUCACCCUUAUUCUGUAUUGUGUGCUGGUUCUCUGUCCUAAAUCAUCCCAUAUGCCGCAAGAGCCUAUGUAGAUUCGUGCCUCCUUGCAUCAAGAUUCUCAUUUAAAUUCAAAGAAUUUUUGUUCUGUUUUAUAGCUAUAACUAUUACAAUGCCCAAUAGUGACUCCCCUCAUCUGUACAGUGUUAUUGAAUGAGCUCUCUGCACUUCUUCUCACCUGCAUCCUCUUUCUCUAGAGCAUUGAUAUCCCCUUUAUCCAAAUACCACAGCAGAGGAAAAAUUGCUUGU